GAUGAAGAACGCAGUGAAAUGCGAUAACUAGUGUGAAUUGCAGAAUUCCGUGAAUCAUCGAGUCUUUGAACGCACAUUGCGCCCCCUGGUAUUCCGGGGGGCAUGCCUGUCCGAGCGUCAUUGCUGCCCAUCAAGCACGGCUUGUGUGUUGGGUCGUCGUCCCCUCUCCGGGGGGGACGGGCCCCAAAGGCAGCGGCGGCACCGCGUCCGAUCCUCGAGCGUAUGGGGCUUUGUCACCCGCUCUGUAGGCCCGGCCGGCGCUUGCCGAACGCAAAUCAAUCUUUUCCAGGUUGACCUCGGAUCAGGUAGGGAUACCCGCUGAACUUAAGCAUAUCAAUAAGCGGAGGA
rnacentral:misc_RNA from 1 species